AUCAAUCUCGUGCUCUCGCCACGUUAGAGCGUUUUUGUUGGUGGCAUUUCGCUUGCACUAGCGAAUAACCGCGAAUACCGUCUCACUCGCGUUGGCAGCAGCAUGGAGGAGUUACGCACACGACUCGUCGUGCCGGAUGGCUGUGCCUGUGUGUGCUUGCUGCUUUGUAUCGGUAUGUGUCCUCGGGGAUCGGCUUCGUCGUCGUGGUCGUCGUACAUCAUCGCACGAGUCCAGCAACGCGUCUACGCCGCUGUAACUGGAGCACACGCGUCCAACGGUUGGUUGGUCCAAUGGCAGUAAACUCCGCUGCUCGUCGGCACCACCGUUAUCAGUUGUUCCGUUGACGUUUGUGCGGCAAGCCACGAGGUUUCAAGCCACCGGCCGGGACUGGUUCGGUCAACGGUUUCGACAGUCGAGCCCUUUGCACGUGAUCGAUAGUGUCUAGUGGCGUUGAAGUGGUUGGUCUGGGACGAGGACGCUCCAAGCGUGUAGGGUGACCAGUGUGAGCGUGCGUGAGUCUGUAAGCGUGAACGUGUGUGUGUGUGAGUGUAUGCACAAAUGUUCAAGAAUUUGCCUGGCACAAUGUGUGAAGGUGCCGUUUUGCAAGUGAGGUGUGAGACAACUUCAACCACUACUAAAGACGGGAACCACCAUAUGGUACCGAACGGAACGGACAGCCACAACAUCAAAGUGUAGUGGGCCAGUUUGAAGCGGUCGAGUGGAUCAAAUGACGAGCCUUAUUGUCCGGGGCAAGCAGAAGUGUUUGUCGCUGUACGUGUCCGUGCACUUCGGAUGGGGAAAAUGGGAACACUUGGGGACAAGCGUGUGACACAUACGGUUUGGUGCUCGUGGUGCAACGAUACAAUCGCGCCAGCAAGACGCGCACGGACAGACUGUCGCCUUCCGGCAAGUGUGUGUGUGUCUGUUUGUAUGUACUGAAACAAACGAUUCUGGAAUGUUAUGCGCGGGUGUACGAGUGUGUGUGUUUUUUUUUACUGCAUAUGUGACCACCUUAGCCUUAGUCAUGUGCACGGAAAGCAUGGCCGCAUUCGGCGUCGGCGUCAGAAAGAGCAAACCAUCUCCAGCGGCAGUCCAGCUGAUGCGGAGGUCCAUUCCGUGCUGAAAAAGGAAAUCUUCAAAAUGGCACGAACGUACGCGUGGAUGUGUUGGUGACCGUCUGGAAGGAAACCCUGGAACCCUGGAAGAAGAACUUGGCUGAUGGGGCUGCCAAGAAGACGGGAGAGGCAAAAAAUUAAACAUGCAUCACGCCCGUAACCACUUUUGGGUUAGCGCUUGGAUGUGUUGAACCGAACGCGCACUGUCUUCAGGAUCAGGAGCAAUCAGCAACCCUCCCGCGUACCACCUUCAUUUCCCCUACUGCUAUGUCGGGCGGGCAAUAGCUCCAAGCGGGAUUUAUUACACGGAUCGGAUGACGGAUCGAAAUUGUUUCGACAUGGACGUGUCGUUUUUUUUGUUUUGCUUCUUUGAGGCCAAUUCAUUUGCCGAUAAUAACUCGAUUCGAGUUUGAAACGCUUUGUGGAGGCUGCAACACCGUGUGCUGUUCGAUGAAAUGGGGCAGACAUAGGAGGAGGAGUAGCGUAAAACAUCCAUUAGUGAUAUUAAAUUAUUGACCAUAUUUUCAAACUGUAGUUGUACACGUUUCAUCUUUACAGGAAGAUCUUCAAUGGCUUUCAAAAAUGCUCGUUCCAUCAAACCCUUCAUUAAACAACUGUAAAGUGCGUGCUAGUUAAGAGGCAUUCGCGAUGAAGCUCGAAUCAUCUUAAGUUCAAAUAUUUCAAAUCCACUUUUCAUAAAUACCUUCGCACUGUAGCCGAAACACACGGGCAUCGAUGGAGAUUGUGGAAAUAGUUGAAAUAUUGCCUGCACGAAAUAGCUGGCAGUGAACAUUCCCGCAUCUCGCACUUUCCAAAGCAAAGUUUACCCCAAGUGCGUGUGGUGUGUAUGUGCAACCUACUAAUCGGUGAACUUCAACCGGAAGUGAAUCAUGCUUCGCAACAUGAUGCGCGUGUGUGUGUGCACAGCGUGUGUGAUUGACAUUCUCGUAAGCGGCGGUGUGUUUCCUGAUAAUGAAUGGAACCACAGCACAAUCCCAACUCCUCAUGCUUUUCCCGCCCUUGUGUAGUGUGUUUUAUGUUGUUGAUGAAACAUCGCUUUUUUCCAUUUGUUUUUCGUAGUUGUAGGAUUUUGUUUACAAAAAAAAAAGCAAUCCAAUUCAAAUCUGUUUUUGUCCCUUCAUCCGGUUUGUGGUGUCACGCGUGGUUCGAUUCUGAUGUCGCAAGACAUGCGCGAAACCGCUAAAAGCCAUAAUCCCUGCGUGUGUGUGUAUUUGUGUGUAGUUAUCCCAUCGCCUAUUUAAUACCUUGUAACAUGUAUCCUAAAAACCCGCCUCUAUCCUGUAAGUGUGUACAUCCUGUCGUAGCGUAUCCAUGUAGUGUCGUUGUAUCUGUGUGUGUGUAUAAAUCUGUGUAGUGUCCCGAGCGAGCGAUCGGCUCAAUCAGCCCCACCACCUUUUUUCCAUUUGCAAUCAUCUCAACCCCCAUCCAACAACAUCCAUCGACAGUGCGCGAUUUCACAGCUGCUGGUUGCUUUAUACGUCACUAACACUCCACCACAACCCACCCAACGCCAACCUACACCCUGCCCUGCCCAACGCCAACCUUUACCAUCCUGCCCAAAUGCUGCGCUGCUGCAGAACCCUGCAGUCG